AACGCGAAGAACCUUACCUGGGCUCGAAAUGUUAUGGACCGGGGUAGAAAUAUCCCUUCCCCGCAAGGGGCCGUAAUAUAGGUGCUGCAUGGCUGUCGUCAGCUCGUGUCGUGAGAUGUUGGGUUAAGUCCCGCAACGAGCGCAACCCUUAUCUUCAGUUGCUACCAUUUAGUUGAGCACUCUGACGAAACCGCCUCGGAUAACGGGGAGGAAGGUGGGGAUGACGUCAAGUCCUCAUGGCCUUUAUGUCCAGGGCUACACACGUGCUACAAUGGCCGGUACAAACCGUCGCAAACCCGUGAGGGGGAGCUAAUCGGAAAAAGCCGGCCUCAGUUCGGAUCGCAGUCUGCAACUCGACUGCGUGAAGCUGGAAUCGCUAGUAAUCGCGGAUCAGAAUGCCGCGGUGAAUACGUUCCCGGGCCUUGUA
rnacentral:rRNA from 1 species